rnacentral:rRNA from 1 species
GGGUAUGCCUAGUACGGCGAGUGAAGCGGCAACAGCUCAAAUUUGAAAGCUGGCCUUCGGGUCCGCAUUGUAAUUUGUAGAGGAUGCUUUGGGUGAAACGCCAGUCUAAGUUCCUUGGAACAGGACGUCAUAGAGGGUGAGAAUCCCGUAUGUGACUGGAAAUGUUAACCUAUGUAAAGCUCCUUCGACGAGUCGAGUUGUUUGGGAAUGCAGCUCUAAAUGGGAGGUAAAUUUCUUCUAAAGCUAAAUAUUGGCGAGAGACCGAUAGCGCACAAGUAGAGUGAUCGAAAGAUGAAAAGCACUUUGGAAAGAGAGUUAAAAAGCACGUGAAAUUGUUGAAAGGGAAGCGCUUGCAAUCAGACUUGUUUAAACUGUUCGGCCGGUCUUCUGACCGGUUUACUCAGUUUGGACAGGCCAGCAUCAGUUUCGGCGGCCGGAUAAAGGCUCUGGGAAUGUGGCCUUCACUUCGGUGAAGGUGUUAUAGCCCAGGGUGUAAUACGGCCAGCCGGGACUGAGGUCCGCGCUUCGGCUAGGAUGCUGGCGUAAUGGUUGUAAGCGACCCGUCUGA